UAUAUAGGAUUGAAGAGCAUGGAGGAUGUGUUGUGGGAAUGGAAGGUCAGUUCUAUCACAUCCUCUAUCCAAAGACACAACAAUCUUUGGGGAAAGCUGCUUUAUAAAGCGCAACAGAGAGGGUAAUGCAGAUGGUUGGUUCGAGGAGGACCAAAUAGGAAAAUUCACCGCAACAGCCUCAUUUUCAUUUGGUCGAAAAAUGGAAAGAGAAUAACANNGUUUUGCUCCAAGGAAUCAAAGUUAACCACAUCAAGUUCAAAACUUAUACCAACCUCAUUAGCAAAUUGAGUUAAGUUUUCACGCAUAAGGAGAACCUCAACGGGAUGGUGAGUUGAAGG
rnacentral:misc_RNA from 1 species